AUCCCAUAAUGAGGACACUUACGAAGUAACUCCUUGAAUCGCUACCAAGCUUCAUACAAAGACUUGUCAUAUAAUUGUUGGAAAGUUGUGAUCUCAUUCCUCAACUU
rnacentral:snoRNA from 1 species